ACGGAAUGUUGUUUACAUCUAAAAACGUGGCGACAUCAGCUGAGAUUUGCAGUGGAUUUAAAUGCAAUAACCACACAAUCUUUAAAGAAAAUAGGGAUAAAAUAAGAGACAAGGCAUUGCUUCUCCAUUUUACAAGAACAUGAGGACAUUAUUUCGGAAAAUAGCAGAAAACUGAGAUGAUUUGCACCAGCUCUAGCUCCGUAGAUCAAUCACUGCACUGUAAUUCCAGGCCAGCUGUCUAGAGUUUCAGGCUUAAAGAGUGAAUAAAUAAAAAAUGCAUCAUUUCUCCACAGGGUUUGCCCUAAGCUAUUCCCAGAUGUUGGACAAAUGGAUUCAUUCCGACAGCAAGUUAAUCCAUCAUUUAAGGAAAAUGGCAAGUUAAGCAACGGCGAGCCUGUUUAACCUUUGGAUGGGUGACCGCUUCACGUUACACAUAAUUCAUUUUAUCCACAAGAACAUGAGGUGAUGGAAAUAAUUUGCACCUGCCCAGCAUUCCUACAGUCUGUCUUUGGAUUUGAAAAGAAAUGUUUAUUAAAUAAAUUUUCUAGAUGAAUAAUAAUUUGACUUUUUCAUAUAUUUACUGUACAAGUGUUGAAAAGGCUAUUAAGAUAUGAAAAUCUUAACUUUCAUACUAUUUUGUGUGGAGGGUACUAAUGAUCAUCAAGAUCUUAUUUCCAGCAUGUGCAUUGUGCUCAUUUAUCUUUCAAUAAUAUUACCAAAAACAGGAGACUAGA